rnacentral:tRNA from 1 species
AAAAAAAUAGCUUAAGGAAAGCAUUGAUUUUGUAAUUCGGAGAUUGUUUUA